CCGUGGGAGAAGGUUCAUAC
rnacentral:rRNA from 1 species